CGGGGGGGCAAGCGUUGUUCGGAAUUACUGGGCGUAAAGGGUGCGUAGGCGGCUUUCUAAGUUGGAUGUGAAAACUCUGGGCUCAACCCAGAGCCUGCAUCCAAAAACUGGAGAGCUUGGGUUCUGGAGGGGAAAGCGGAAUUCCUGGUGUAGCGGUGAAAUGCGUAGAUAUCAGGAGGAACACCGGUGGCGAAGGCGGCUUUCUGGACAGAUACCGACGCUGAGGCACGAAAGCUAGGGGAGCAAACAGGAUUAGAUACCCUGGUAGUCCUAGCCCUAAACGAUGGAUACUUGCUGUGAGGGGGAUUGAAACCCUUUGUGGCGAAGCUAACGCAUUAAGUAUCCCGCCUGGGGAGUACGGUCGCAAGGCUG
rnacentral:rRNA from 1 species